rnacentral:tRNA from 1 species
GCGUUCUUGGCGCAGUUGGCAGCGCGCAAGUCUCAUAAUCUUGAGGUCGUGAGUUCGAUCCUCACAGGGGGCA